AUUGAACGCUGGCGGCAGGCCUAACACAUGCAAGUCGGACGGUAGCACAGAGGAGCUUGCUCCUCGGGUGACGAGUGGCGGACGGGUGAGUAAUGUCUGGGGAUCUGCCCGAUAGAGGGGGAUAACCACUGGAAACGGUGGCUAAUACCGCAUAACGUCGCAAGACCAAAGAGGGGGACCUUCGGGCCUCUCACUAUCGGAUGAACCAAGAUGGGAUUAGCUAGUAGGCGGGGUAACGGCCCACCUAGGCGACGAUCCCUAGCUGGUCUGAGAGGAUGACCAGCCACACUGGAACUGAGACACGGUCCAGACUCCUACGGGAGGCAGCAGUGGGGAAUAUUGCACAAUGGGCGCAAGCCUGAUGCAGCCAUGCCGCGUGUAUGAAGAAGGCCUUCGGGUUGUAAAGUACUUUCAGCGGGGAGGAAGGCGAUGUGGUUAAUAACCGCGUCGAUUGACGUUACCCGCAGAAGAAGCACCGGCUAACUCCGUGCCAGCAGCCGCAGUAAUAC
rnacentral:rRNA from 1 species